AUUGAACGCUGGCGGCAGGCCUAACACAUGCAAGUCGAGCGAGCGGCGGACGGGUGAGUAAUGUCUGGGAAACUGCCUGAUGGAGGGGGAUAACUACUGGAAACGGUAGCUAAUACCGCAUACCAUCAGAUGUGCCCAGAUGGGAGUAGCUAGGAGGUGGGGUAACGGAUCACCUUGGCGACGUUCCCUAGCUGGUCUGAGAGGAUGACCAGCCAAACUGGAAUGGAGACCCGGUACAAGGGCCGAGGGGAGGCAGCAGUGGGGAAUAUGGAAGAAUGGGCGCGAGCCUGAUGCAGAUAGGCCGCGUGUGUGAAGAAGGCCUUCGGGGUGUAAAGCACUUUCAGUGGGGAGGCGGUACCCGCAGAAGAAGCACCGGCUAACUCCGUGCCAGCAGCCGCGGUAAUAC
rnacentral:rRNA from 1 species